rnacentral:ncRNA from 2 species
AUGUGAAAAGGGCAAAGCCAUUGAAAGAUGGUGACGCAAAGCUACAGGGGCUUCUGUUCAAAUGACAAUGCCAGCCAGCUGCCGAG